AUGUUUUCCAGCCUCAAGUUGGCCUUUAUGCAGCCCUGCAAUUCUCCCUUCACUUCUUACGGACUCAUACUGUAUUGCUCUAGUGGAAGAUAUUAUCAAUCUGUGGCCCCUGUCCACUGCCUUAAGGAAGAUAUUGCAAGGAUCUUUAUGAACCUUCCCAGCAGACGGCCCCGUGUGUGUUAUGGCAAUGCAAGAAAGCGUGUACUGUUGGCUAAGUUCCUGUAAGAAGUCAAGAUGAUUCUAGAAGUUAGGCUCAGUUGCUGUUUACUACUUCUUCUCUGUCAUCAUCCCCAGUGGUGUUAGUGUCGUGAUGGAAGGUCACCCCUGACCUGUCAUUUCUGCUACAGCUGAAAGCAAUAAAAGGCAAUGCUGCAUAGUACUCAGAAGAACCAUGUUCUCCUUUGUAAAUGAGUGUGAAGGAAGCAAAGAAAGAAGAAAAAAGAACUGAGUGGGAAGAAUCUGGAAAAUUAACAGCAAGAGUCAGUGAACACGAUUCUAUUUUUUCCUUAUAAAGAAUACUUUAAAUUACAUAAUUACAGAUUCCAGGGAAAUAGGUAUUUAAAUCCAUCAGUGACAUGUGUUUGACUUCCUCAUUUGCAGAGAAAAUCAGAAGCUUAUUUUGGUUUUUGUUCUCACUCUUCUCUUUUCCCCGCCCACCUAAAUCGGAUUGAGAUAUUUGACAAAGUAAGACCCUAGUACAAUGGAAAUUAGACUCUAGCGAAACGAGAGGCUGCGUGAAGCUCUUUACACACUACAAAAUCCAAUGUUCCCACUUUUUCCUACAGACAUUAGAAAGGCACAGAAAUAAAAUCAGAUCCAACUCCCAGUUUCUAUUUUGAGCAGAGGUUUUAAAUGCCAUCGGCUUAGAUUAAUGUGCUAUGAAUUAGUCACCUUGCAUAAAUAUGUUUCAUUUAAAGG